rnacentral:rRNA from 1 species
AUACCGAGGGUGCAAGCGUUAAUCGGAUUUACUGGGCGUAAAGCGCGCGUAGGCGGCUAAUUAAGUCAAAUGUGAAAUCCCCGAGCUUAACUUGGGAAUUGCAUUCGAUACUGGUUAGCUAGAGUGUGGGAGAGGAUGGUAGAAUUCCAGGUGUAGCGGUGAAAUGCGUAGAGAUCUGGAGGAAUACCGAUGGCGAAGGCAGCCAUCUGGCCUAACACUGACGCUGAGGUGCGAAAGCAUGGGGAGCAAACAGGAUUAGAUACCCCCGUAGUCC